CCCAUAUCUAGUAAGGCUUUGAAGCAACUGGACAAAACCAGAAGGAAUUUUCUAUGGGAAGGGAAUAACAAAAGCCAUAAAUUCCAUUUGAUCAAUUGGCCAAUAGUCUUGUUACCAAAAAAGUUAGGCGGUUUGGGCAUAGAGAGUUAGCAUUGCACAACAAAUGCCUACUUAUGAAUUGGUUGUGGAGAUACACUCAAGAGGAGCAUAGCCUUUGCAAGGAUGUGAUUAUUGGUAUACAUGGAGCACUAAACCACUGGUGUUCUAAUGUUUCAACAGCGCCAUAUGGAGUUGGUGUCUGGAGAAGUAUACGCAAAUUAUGGGAGGUGUUCUCUCAACACACACACUUA
rnacentral:misc_RNA from 1 species